rnacentral:rRNA from 1 species
CGCCAGACUCCUACGGGAGGCAGCAGUGAGGAAUAUUGCACAAUGGGGGAAACCCUGAUGCAGCGACGCCGCGUGAGCGAUGAAGUAUUUCGGUGUGUAAAGCUCUAUCAGCAGGGAAGAAAAUGACGGUACCUGAAGAAGAAGCCCCGGCUAACUACGUGCCAGCAGCCGCGGUAAUACGUAGGGGGCAAGCGUUAUCCGGAUUUACUGGGUGUAAAGGGGGCGCAGACGGCGAUGCAAGCCAGGAGUGAAAGCCCGGGGCCCAACCCCGGGACUGCUCUUGGAACUGCGUGGCUGGAGUGCAGGAGGGGCAGGCGGAAUUCCUGGUGUAGCGGUGAAAUGCGUAGAUAUCAGGAGGAACACCGGCGGCGAAGGCGGCCUGCUGGACCGCGACUGACGUUGAGGCUCGAAAGCGUGGGGAGCGAACAGGAUUAGAUACCCCAGUACUC